rnacentral:rRNA from 1 species
ACACCUGUCUAGACCUAACGAUGACGCCCUUCGGGGUGGAUUAGUGGUAAACGGGUGAGUAACACGUGGGCAAUCUGCCCUUCACUCUGGGACAAGCCCUGGAAACGGGGUCUAAUACCGGAUAACACCGGCUUCCGCAUGGAGGCUGGUUGAAAGCUCCGGCGGUGAAGGAUGAGCCCGCGGCCUAUCAGCUUGUUGGUGGGGUAAUGGCCCACCAAGGCGACGACGGGUAGCCGGCCUGAGAGGGCGACCGGCCACACUGGGACUGAGACACGGCCCAGACUCCUACGGGAGGCAGCAGUGGGGAAUAUUGCACAAUGGGCGAAAGCCUGAUGCAGCGACGCCGCGUGAGGGAUGACGGCCUUCGGGUUGUAAACCUCUUUCAGCAGGGAAGAAGCGAAAGUGACGGUACCUGCAGAAGAAGCGCCGGCUAACUACGUGCCAGCAGCCGCGGUAAUACGUAGGGCGCAAGCGUUGUCCGGAAUUAUUGGGCGUAAAGAGCUCGUAGGCGGCUUGUCACGUCGGGUGUGAAAGCCCGGGGCUUAACCCCGGGUCUGCAUCCGAUACGGGCAGGCUAGAGUGUGGUAGGGGAGAUCGGAAUUCCUGGUGUAGCGGUGAAAUGCGCAGAUAUCAGGAGGAACACCGGUGGCGAAGGCGGAUCUCUGGGCCAUUACUGACGCUGAGGAGCGAAAGCGUGGGG